UAGCCUAACGGCUGAACCAGCAACUUGGAGGAAUGUAUAGCGCAAGCUAAUUGCACUGGCCUUUGGCUGGUGCAAGAUCGACCAUGUUGAAUAAAGUUCUAGGUAGAGUUAUGAUAAUGACAUUUUCUAUCUAUGUGUCUUGACCAAGUCACGUGCCAGCAGUCGCGGUAAUACGUGGAAGACUAGUGUUAUUCAUCUUUAAUUGGUUUAAAGGGUACCUAGACGGUUAAUCAAACCCCCCCUACGGGGGGUAUUAAUUGACUAGAGUUUUAUAUGAGGAGGGGAGUACUAAAGAGUGUAGAGAUGAAAUUCUGUGAUACCUGCCUUGGAACAGGCAACGGCGAAGGCAACCUUUUAUGUAAAAACUGACGUUGAAGGACGAAGGCUUAGGACACCAACAGGAUUAGAUACCCCAGCAGUCUAAGCAGACAAUGAUGAAUGUCAUAGAUUAGAAUUAUAAUUUUGUCUAUAAAUGAAAGUGUAAGCAUUCCACCUCAAGAGUAAUGUGGCAACGCAGAAACUGAAAUCAUUAGACCGUUUCUGAAACCAGUAGUGAAGUAUGUUGUUUAAUUUGAUGUUCCGCAAAACACCUUACCACAAUUUGAAUAUUAUUUAUUUGAAUAUUUUUUUUGAAUAUAUAUUACAAGCGUUGCACGGCUGUUUUCAGUUAAUGUCGUGAGAUUUUGGUUAGCUCCAUUAAAUUAACGUAAACCCUUACUUUAUUUAUUAUUAUAAAGUAGUUCACCGCUAUAUUGGAUAUGAUAAAAGGGAAUAAUACAAGUCAAUAUGGCCUAGAUAUUGUGGGCUAUAGACGUGCCACAUAAGCCUUUACAAAGGGAUGCGAAAUUGUGAAAUUGAGCUAAUCCCCAAAACAGGAUAUAACA
rnacentral:rRNA from 1 species